GGGGGCGCAACGGAUUCGACGGGAUUGCAUCCGUCGUGGGAAGUCGUGCCGGGUUCCGAGCUCCCGUAAAACGAUCGGAAAACAACAACUGCCAAUAAUCAGCAGUUCGCUUACGCUGCUUAAUUAAUUAAGUAGCCGCUCUGAGGUCGUGGGCCUGCACCGGCCUUGAGAGCGUCAUCUUGCAGGAUAGGCCUAAAGCUUCCGUCUGGAGCCGAAAGCCGAGAUCAAUCAGGCUAAGCCAUCCCCCUCUUGCCGGUUCCGCAUGGGGUGGUCGAAAAAUACCGAACCGGAAACGCACGUAGUCUUUUUGCGAUUGACUUUCUCGGACGCGGGUUCAACUCCCGCCGCCUCCACCA
rnacentral:tmRNA from 1 species